CCUACGGGAGGCAGCAGUGAGGAAUAUUGCGCAAUGGGCGCAAGCCUGAUCCAGCCAUGCCGCGUGCAGGAAGAAGCAUCUAUGGUGUGUAAACUGCUUUUGUACGGGAAGAAACACUCCCUCGUGAGGGAGCUUGACGGUACCGUAAGAAUAAGGAUCGGCUAACUCCGUGCCAGCAGCCGCGGUAAUACGGAGGAUCCAAGCGUUAUCCGGAAUCAUUGGGUUUAAAGGGUCCGUAGGCGGUUUAUUAAGUCAGUGGUGAAAUCUGGUCGCUCAACGAUCAAACGGCCAUUGAUACUGAUAGACUUGAAUUACUAGGAAGUAACUAGAAUAUGUAGUGUAGCGGUGAAAUGCUUAGAUAUUACAUGGAAUACCAAUUGCGAAGGCAGGUUACUACUAGUGGAUUGACGCUGAUGGACGAAAGCGUGGGGAGCGAACAGGAUUAGAUACCCUGGUAGUCCACGCCGUAAACGAUGGAUACUAGCUGUUGGGCGCAAGUUCAGUGGCUAAGCGAAAGUGAUAAGUAUCCCACCUGGGGAGUACGUUCGCAAGAAUGAAACUCAAAGGAAUUGACGG
rnacentral:rRNA from 1 species